CCUACGGGUGGCAGCAGUGAGGAAUAUUGGUCAAUGAGCGAAAGCCUGAACCAGCCAAGUCGCGUGAGGGAAGACGGUCCUAUGGAUUGUAAACCUCUUUUGUCGGGGAGCAAAACACGACACGUGUGGCUUUGCGAGAGUACCCGAAGAAAAAGCAUCGGCUAACUCCGUGCCAGCAGCCGCGGUAAUACGGAGGAUGCGAGCGUUAUCCGGAUUUAUUGGGUUUAAAGGGUGCGUAGGCGGUGUGUCAAGUCAGUGGUAAAAUUGCGGGGCUCAACCCCGUCGAGCCGUUGAAACUGGCUAUCUUGAGUGAGCGAGAGGUAUGCGGAAUGCGAGGUGUAGCGGUGAAAUGCAUAGAUAUAACGAAGAACUCCGAUUGCGAAGGCAGCAUACCGGCGCUCAACUGACGCUGAGGGACGAAAGCGUGGGUAUCGAACAGGAUUAGAUACCCGUGUAGUC
rnacentral:rRNA from 1 species